GGGCACAGGCAGUGUGAGGGGGGGAGGCCCCCGACAAGCCCCAAGGAGGCAGGAGAUCAGAUACUGCCAGACCUCUGCACCUCACGCGGGUCCUGGACAUUAGCAACAAAAUGCCUGAAAGAAGCCUGUCUUUGCUUUAUUUUCUGGGGGCACAACUCUGGGCCAUUUGGCUUUGCGCAGGGGACCUCUGCAGGGUAAAAGCAAGCACUUGGCUUCUGUUUGUUAUAGCUUCUAAUUUGACAAAGGCUGUACGUCUGCGGCUUGAAUGCUGCAGGGACGCUACCUCCAUGCAGAGAGCUUCUGGCAGGCUAAAUAGCUGUGGCAAUGGCAAUUGCAGUCCAGCAGCAUUCUGAAUGGAGAGCUGCCUGCUUAAGCAUGGCAGAAUUUAAGAAAUACCACCUUUAUUUGAAUCCAGGAUAAUCACUUUUUCCUCACGGGAGCAUUAUCUCAGACUCUCCUGCUAGAAAGUUACAGUAGGGUAAAAAAAAAAUUGCCGAGCAUCGGUUGGUCUGUGCUGGUUGUCGGGGUGGUCGCUUUUAACCUCGCGUUUCCCAGUUAAGGUAGCGGAGGGAGAAAAGCUACUUCGUAUUCGGCAGGAGCGAGAGCUCUGCGCUGGCGGUUGCUGUGGAGAAGCUGAUUGUGGUCAAUUAACCAGUCGUAAAUCAGCCUGUCGCUGCUUUCUGUCAAGGCCUGUGCGGGGGAUCCUGUCCUCAGGGGCGCGAAGCCGCUCGCUCCUCGGCAGCCGCCGCGAGCCCCUCGGCGCGGAGGGGAGGUUGCGGCGCGGGCAGAGCUGCCGGGCGGCCGGUGCCCGUCGAGGGGGGCAGCUCCUGCGCCCGCAGCUGUGGGCUCGCCGCCUCGCGUUGCCGGGGCCCGGAGCGGCAGCUGCCCCUGCCCGCGCUGGAGGUUCAAUUGCGGUGAUUUGUCAUUGCUUGAUUUAAAUUUGUUUAGAACUCGACCGAAAUACAAUUUUUGUAAAGCUGCUCUCAAUAGGUAUGUUUGUAUUUCUAAAUAAGCGUUGAACAUAUUUUCCCUAAACUACUUAAACGUAUUUUUCUUAAACUCAUUCUGGGAAUUUAUGAGAUUGUCUUGGCAUCGAGGUCGUUUUGCGGUGGAGAGAGAGAGAGCAGUUUAGGUUGCAGGAGGAUGAAUAUUCAUGUCCUGUUGACAGCAAAUACAUUAAACUCACUUUUACCUUUUAAUAACCUCUUAGAAAUGGAAACCACCCACUACAAGUAUAUUUUCAGAUUCUAAGGAAAUAUCCACACGGUUGUCAUUACUUAUAAAGGCAGUAAGUGUCCGCCUGCUUUCCUGUUCUGCCACCUGCGUCACGGUGGGCAGGCAGACCCCGAAACCGGGACAGGACAGACUGACUCCUCACAUUUUAUUCUCAGCACGGACUGGUUGAAGGGUUUGGUUUUAAACUACUUUCAUAUCCCCUCGCUAAACUGGGAUGCGGUCCGGGUGCCUCUCACUUGGGUCGCUUUGCGUUGCCCCUCGCGGGAGGCAGCGUGCCGAGCCCCGUCUGGCCGCUGCCGAGCAGGGCUGUGCUCAGAGGCGCGCCGCGUUGUCCUGCAAAUACCAUCUGCUCCUCAGCAUGCUCCUCCGUGUCCCUCACGGCAACGCCGGGACGUUAAUGCGUGUGCCAGCUAGUGCCGAUUAACGCUGGGUCACUUAGCAAGGGUUUGUAGGUGGCUGGAAAGGCAAGUGGCACCUCAGCCAGCGGAUGUGUAACUGGCACUAUAUCUUUCAAGUUUUUUUUAAGUACUGGUCUAUAAAUCUAUUGCAUGCUGUGCAAGUGAUUUAUUGUAAUUCAUAACCUUUAAACCUUUCUACUACCACGCAGGCAAGUUCUUCUCUUGCACGUGAAACACUUUGAUUUAUAAAUUUGGAGCAGGUUUAAAAUCUGUUUUUUGCUUUCCUUCUAAAUUUGGAUUCACCAGUAAGUGCCAGGAAAAUGUUAUUUAAUUUGCAUUCGAUGGUCUGAUUGAACGGCGUUCUUCGUUUGACCACACAGAGAUGGAUUGUCUCUUUGAGAAUCGCAGUCUUUUAUCCCUCAGAGUUCAGAGGUUACAUCAAAAACUGCCUGCCUGCUGCCUGAUGUGACAUUUGAACUCCAAAGGCCAAGAGAUCAUGAGGCCAUAAAGCAGGGCAAAAGCUCUAAAGGUGUCAUUCCUAUUGUUCUCGGAGGACAGGACUUUAGCCGAGAUCACAUCAUUCAUGGGGUGGGGAAUAAGGGCUAGAUGUCAGCCGGGAUCAGGAAAGCCUGGGUUCAUCCUGUAGUCAAGAAUCAGUGCUGGAGCAACGCUGCAAGUUUGCUCGCAGUAGUGGGACAGGUUUCUAGUAAGUGCCAACCCACCAUGUGAUCAAGAGUCUGCAGACUAGUAGUUCUUAAUUUGUACGUUAAUCUUUAAUGUGUGUGUUGUAUUUUUUGCGCUGCCCGUCAUGAGAGGGAGAAAUAGUUUACUCCAGUAUGGACAGUCUCUCUCUGUUGAGUGACGUGUGGCUUCUCGUCCCGGGCAGAACGAUCUGAGAACUCCUCCAGCCUAUGUUUCACUGUCACCAGUAAUGGGGAGCAGAGGAAAACUCAUGGUACCUUAAAUACUGCACCAGAUCCUGACAGCACUCCCACAGAAGUCGUUCAUGUCAAAGCAAUAAUUGCAACACUCCUGUAAGGUAAAAAUGGUUUGAUACAAAAUCACCCCAAUACUCCACUGUAAAAUUUGCCCCCGUAAAUGUAUACAUGCUAGAAAGUUGGGUUAGAAUCAGGGCCGCAGAGAUGCAGCCUCAGCCCGACUGUGGGCACUUAAAUGAGGAGCCUGGUUGCUUCUGUCCCCCUGUACAGGCGAGGGGGGGACAUCGACGUCUCCAGAAGGCCUCAGCUGAUCCAGACCUGAGUCAGGCUGCGGAGCGGUGCCUUCCGCUCUGCCUCCCGGGCACCUGCGCGUGUCGCCUAGGGGAGGUGGCACGAGUCCAGCUUUGGGAAUUCCACACCUUGCCUCACCGUGUGUCUUUAGACCUGGUGUUUGGCAGAGUAGGAAUCAUCUAAGGUGAUCCACUGUAGUGCCAGCAGUGCUUACGUAGAUCCAUGGCUGCUGGCAGCUGGCUCCUUCAGAGAGAUGUCCAGCCGGGGAAUCAGCUGGGAAUUUCUGUGCAUCUUUUCCUUCCUCCAUCCAAAACCACCACAGAUGGAGCUGAGUGAAAACACAUUUGCCAACAAAGAUGUCUUACUGAAAGCAGUGACAAUUUUUACCUCUUUCAAAAAUUUUGCUGCUCAAACAAAAGUAGUAACUGAAGUUUACAAAUUUUGUUUUCUUUUGGGUUUUGUGAGAGGAGGGAAAAAAAGCAAGAGAGAAAUAGUUGAAAAGGAAUGAAAGCUGAAUUGAAGCUUUGCUAUUACUUGAAAUUAAUUUGGAAGUUUGUUCUUAACAUGAAAGAAACUGAAUACAGUUUUAUUGCAGAAAAAUAGGAAACAUAUAAAGGUCUUAAUUUGACUUUUCCUUAGAAGAUAGUAUUAACCAUCUCAGUAGUAUGCUGGUUUAAAUAAAGGUGUUUGCUUUC